AGAGAGAAAAGGGAAAAGCUUUCAUUUUCAAAAUGCUCCCAUCAACAUUCACAGGGGUCAUGCUCGAACAAACAACCUUGAACUCCUUCAAAUGUUUAUUAGGAUCUUCCAUAGACAACCCAUGGAAAUUAGGAAUAUGAUGCAAUAAACUGGACUUUAAUUCGAACUCGUUGGUCAUAUUUUGGGCCGCCCUUAGAUAUUGAAUGCAUAAAGGCAGAGCAUUGUCCAAUCCCGAAGUGGAAAGCUCCUUGAUUGUUCAAUUGUCUACUGCCAUAUCUUGGACUUCUUCAAAAGUCCUUGUCGUGGCCUCCUCUUGCUCUUCUACUUUGUCUUCUUCAAGAUCUGGUGUAGGUUGAGAUGGUUGGGGAUCUUGUUGAUUUCUUGCUCGUCUCAAUGUUCGUUCAAAAUCGUCGUUAAAGUUAAAGAUGUGCUUAUGAACAAGUUGAGAACUUCGAGUCAUAAACCACCUAAAAUAAGAAAACAAGUAAAAUCAGCAACUAGGAACAAAAACACAUGAAAAUACACAAAAAGAAAUAACAGGGGAUUAGCAAAGUUGCUAAUCCCCGGCAAGCGCCAAAAACUUGAUGCGAAAAUUAACUUAACACACAAAUUUAACCCUCUUUUGACAACUGUAGUAUAAGUAUAAGUAGGGAUCGUUCUGGACUGGGGAUUAGGAGGGCUUGCUAAUAACCUUAAACUGACUCAAAAACAUAAAACUAAACUUAACAAUACUUAACAAGACUCACAAGACUCAAAGCAAACUUAAAAUACUCAAAACAGCUUAAAACGACUAAAUAAACUUAAACUAGACACUAGGAAUGACUUUGGAUGAAAAUUGAAUUUUACUUGAAUCAAAACAUUUAAAAACACAAAUUAAAAUAGAUUCUAACUAAUUAGACACACUAAAGUAAAGGGGGAUUGAGUUUUGGACAAAGUUGAAACAAACAAACAAGUAUGAAAAACUAGACAGAUUGUAAAACGAAUGUGAGAAAUAAGAUGAUGGAUGGGAUAGCUAGAGGCUAUUUCUCCACACAUGACAUGUAUGCAAAUAGCUCGAUUUCCAGUUACUACUUCAUUGAAUUAUGAACGACAAUGCUCCAAAUUAACCGUGACAUCACCAGUUAACUCUCAGAUUUUCCUUGUUUUAUUGGAUUGGAUGACAUCAUUCGACAACCCAAAACAUUCUUCU
rnacentral:lncRNA from 1 species